CUGAGAUUUUUUGUUUAUAUAAACAGAAACGCGUUUCCAUCGUUGCAUACCUAAGAAUCCAGAAUAAACAACAGCAAGUAGAAUCAGCAACAGAAGAAAAUAGUUGAACAUACUGUAUAAUAACAAAAGCAAUUCACCCGCAAACGGAGAAUCAUGUUCAUCCAUGUCAUUAGGGAAAACAGCAGCAAAACUUUGAGCUUCCACCAUGCUUCUGUCACAUGGACUUAUUGAUGCAUUCCUCUUUGCUUCUUUUGGUAAUCUUGACUUAAGAGCUGCUUCUCCUCUCAAAGCUUUUCAUUCAAAGAAAAAUAGGUACUGUUAAUAAUCAGCUGCAGCUGUUAGUGUGACAAGAUCACUAGCACUAUGUAUGUCUACAGCUGAUCUAACAACUGAGGCUACACGAUCAUGAUCCGCCCCGGCUGAUUCAGCCAUUUCAAGGCAAUGUGAGGCCAAGAGUUCAGUAGCUGAUGCUAAAGCCGUGCUCAUCUUUGAACUCGAACCGUUUGAGUUCUCUGCUGCUGCUGC